AGGGGUAUAGCUCAAUGGCAAGCAGGUGCUUAACAUGCACGAGGUCCUGGGUUCAAUCUCCAGUAUCUCCA
rnacentral:tRNA from 1 species